rnacentral:rRNA from 1 species
GCGCCCGGCGUCGUGUCCCAGCGCGCCCUCCGCCCGACACUUUUCGGCUCAGAUUGAACGCUGGCGGCAUGCCUUACACAUGCAAGUCGAACGGCAGCACGGAGCUUGCUCUGGUGGCGAGUGGCGAACGGGUGAGUAAUAUAUCGGAACGUACCCUAGAGUGGGGGAUAACGUAGCGAAAGUUACGCUAAUACCGCAUACGAUCUAAGGAUGUAAAGUGGGGGAUCGCAAGACCUCAUGCUCGUGGAGCGGCCGAUAUCUGAUUAGCUAGUUGGUAGGGUAAAAAGCCUACCAAGGCAUCGAUCAGUAGCUGGUCUGAGAGGACGACCAGCCACACUGGAACUGAGACACGGUCCAGACUCCUACGGGAGGCAGCAGUGGGGAAUUUUGGACAAUGGGCGAAAGCCUGAUCCAGCAAUGCCGCGUGAGUGAAGAAGGCCUUCGGGUUGUAAAGCUCUUUUGUCAGGGAAGAAACGGUGAGAGCUAAUAUCUCUUGCUAAUGACGGUACCUGAAGAAUAAGCACCGGCUAACUACGUGCCAGCAGCCGCGGUAAUACGUAGGGUGCAAGCGUUAAUCGGAAUUACUGGGCGUAAAGCGUGCGCAGGCGGUUUUGUAAGUCUGAUGUGAAAUCCCCCGGGCUCAACCUGGGAAUUGCAUUGGAGACUGCAAGGCUAGAAUCUGGCAGAGGGGGGUUAGAAUUCCACGUGUAGCAGUGAAAUGCGUAGAUAUGUGGAGGAACACCGAUGGCGAAGGCAGCCCCCUGGGUCAAGAUUGACGCUCAUGCACGAAAGCGUGGGGAGCAAACAGGAUUAGAUACCCUGGUAGUCCACGCCCUAAACGAUGUCUACUAGUUGUCGGGUCUUAAUUGACUUGGUAACGCAGCUAACGCGUGAAUGUAACGGGGCCUGGGGAGUACGGUCGCAAGAUUAAAACUC